rnacentral:lncRNA from 1 species
GGACGGUGGCCGCGCCUCCAGUACCUCGCUGUCUCCGGCAACGAGCUCGGCGGGAAAAUACCGCCGGAGAUCGGGAACCUGACCAGCCUCCGGGAGCUCUACAUCGGUUACUACAACACCUACGUGGACGGCAUUCCGCCGGAGAUCGGGAACUUGUCAGAGUUGGUGAGGUUGGACGCUGCGUACUGUGGUUUGUCCGGCGAGAUUACACCGGCGCUGGGUAAGCUGCAGAAGCUGGACACGCUGUUCCUUCAGGUGAAUGCGCUAACAGGGC